CGGAUUCUGUUCCGAGAAUAAGGGGGGGGGUGAGCUCCCUCCCAAACUGCCUGCUUCUCCCGGAAGAGGAGCUUCUGCGCCGGAUUUCGGAGGAGGGGCGGCAGGGGAGGAUACCCCCCCCCCGUGGAUGUUGCAGGAAAGGAAAGGAGAAUCGCGAGGGAGGACAAAGAGGGCCUUUGUUCACCUGCAGCAGAAUUCCCUAAUACACCAAGGAUUUGAGACCCAUCAUCUAUCCUCACCUGGUUUUGCCGGCCAGUUGAAGCCGUUCCUGGGAUUGUGGUCCCUAUUCCAUCCUGACAGCUUCUGGAAUACACAGUUCUCUUCCUUGAAACCUAAACAGGAUUUCCGUUCCUCCCACUCUGAAGAAGGAGAUGGAGAAGACACUUCAAACCCCAGUGAAUGGGGCACCUUUCGUAUCAUUAGGAAUAGAAAAAAAAGAGUGUGAAAUGCAGAAAAUGCUUCAUUGAAUGAGCACCCAUAGUUCACAUCAACGACGUCCAACAGGGGGAAAACCAUUUAAAGGUAUGGAGUGUGGGAAAAGUUUCCCUGAUAGUGGAAAACUUAGAACACAUCAGCGGACUCACAUGGGCAAGAAAGAAUUCCAAUGCAGGGAGUGUGGGAAGAACUUCAGUCAACAUGGACACUUAAGUUUACAUCAACAGUUUCACACAGGGGAAAAACCUUUUAAAUGUCUGGAUUGUGGAAAGAGCUUCAGUCGGAGUGAUAAACUUAGAGCACAUCAAUGGACUCACACGGGGGAGAAACCUUUUAAAUGCAUGGAUUGUGGAAAGAGCUUCUGUCGGAGUGAUACACUUAGAAGUCAUCAGAGGAUUCAUACAGGGGAGAAACCUUUUAAAUGUCUGGAUUGUGGAAAGAGCUUCAGUCAGAAUGGAGACUUAAGUUUACAUCAGCGGA